UGAGGAAUAUUGGGCAAUGGACGCAAGUCUGACCCAGCAACGCCGCGUGGAGGAUGAAGGUCUUUGGAUUGUAAACUCCUUUUACCGGGGAAGAGAGAGGACGGUACCCGGAGAAUCAGUCACGGCUAACUACGUGCCAGCAGCCGCGGUAAUACGUAGGUGACAAGCGUUAUCCGGAUUUAUUGGGCGUAAAGCGCACGCAGGCGGCGCUUCAAGUCUGACGUGAAAUCGCUCGGCUUAACCGGGCGCGGUCGUUGGAAACUGAGGUGCUUGAGGUGAGGAGAGGGGUGUGGAAUUCCCGGUGUAGUGGUGGAAUGCGUAGAUAUCGGGAGGAACAUCAGUGGCGCAAGCGGCACCCUGGCCUUGGCCUGACGCUCAUGUGCGAAAGCGUGGGGAGCGAACGGGAUUAGAUACCCGCGUAGUCC
rnacentral:rRNA from 1 species